GGUGAACCAGGUCAAAAGGGUGACAGAGGACCCCUUGGUCUUCCAGGAGCAUCUGGCUUAGACGGAAAGCCAGGAUCCCGGGGUACAGAUGGCCCUAUGGGACCCCAUGGCCCCGCAGGUCCCAAAGGAGAAAGAGGUGAAAAAGGAGCUAUGGGAGAGCCUGGACCCAGAGGACCCUAUGGUCUGCCUGUGAGUUGUGU
rnacentral:lncRNA from 1 species